rnacentral:rRNA from 1 species
AUUGAACGCUGGCGGCAUGCCUUACACAUGCAAGUCGAACGGCAGCAUGGAGAGCUUGCUCUCUGAUGGCGAGUGGCGAACGGGUGAGUAAUGCAUCGGAACGUACCGUGUAAUGGGGGAUAACGUAGCGAAAGCUACGCUAAUACCGCAUACGACCUGAGGGUGAAAGCAGGGGAUCGCAAGACCUUGCGUUAUACGAGCGGCCGAUGUCAGAUUAGCUAGUUGGUGAGGUAAAGGAUCACCAAGGCGACGAUCUGUAGCGGGUCUGAGAGGAUGAUCCGCCACACUGGGACUGAGACACGGCCCAGACUCCUACGGGAGGCAGCAGUGGGGAAUUUUGGACAAUGGGGGCAACCCUGAUCCAGCCAUGCCGCGUGAGUGAAGAAGGCCUUCGGGUUGUAAAGCUCUUUCGGCCGGGAAGAAAUCGCACAGGCUAAUACUCUGUGUGGAUGACGGUACCGGCAUAAGAAGCACCGGCUAACUACGUGCCAGCAGCCGCCGUAA